UACGGGGGGUGCAAGCGUUGUUCGGAAUUAUUGGGCGUAAAGAGCGCGUAGGCGGCCGGAUAUGUCAGAUGUGAAAGCCCCGGGCUUAACCCGGGAAGUGCAUUUGAAACUGUCCGGCUCGAGUAGGGGAGAGGGAAGUGGAAUUCCUGGUGUAGAGGUGAAAUUCGUAGAUAUCAGGAGGAACACCGGUGGCGAAGGCGACUUCCUGGCCCUAUACUGACGCUGAGACGCGAGAGCGUGGGUAGCAAACAGGAUUAGAUACCCUGGUAGUCCACGCCGUAAACGAUGUUCACUAGGUGUUGGGGGUAUUGACCCCCUCAGUGCCGGAGCUAACGCAUUAAGUGAACCGCCUGGGGAGUACGGUCGCAAGAUUAAA
rnacentral:rRNA from 1 species